AUUGAACGCUGGCGGCAUGCCUUACACAUGCAAGUCGAGCGGCAGCGCGGGGGGCAACCCUGGCGGCGAGCGGCGAACGGGUGAGGAAUACAUCGGAACGUACCCGAGAGUGGGGGGAUAACGCCGCGAAAGCGGCGCUAAUACCGCAUAUUCUCCGAGGAGGAAAGUGGGGGACCGCAAGGCCUCACGCUCACGGAGCGGCCGAUGUCGGAUUAGCUAGUUGGUGGGGUAAAGGCCCACCAAGGCGACGAUCCGUAGCUGGUCUGAGAGGAUGAUCAGCCACACUGGGACUGAGACACGGCCCAGACUCCUACGGGAGGCAGCAGUGGGGAAUUUUGGGACAAUGGGGGCAACCCGUGAUCCAGCCAUGCCGCGUGCGGGAAGAAGGCC
rnacentral:rRNA from 1 species